UACAGAGGUCCCAAGCGUUGUUCGGAUUCACUGGGCGUAAAGGGUGCGUAGGUGGUUAGGUAAGUCCGAUGUGAAAUCUCCAGGCUCAACCUGGAAAUGGCAUUGGAUACUAUCUAGCUUGAGGAGUGGAAGGGGGACUGGAAUUCUCGGUGUAGCAGUGAAAUGCGUAGAUAUCGAGAGGAACACCAGUGGCGAAGGCGAGUCCCUGGACACUUCCUGACACUGAGGCACGAAAGCUAGGGGAGCAAACAGG
rnacentral:rRNA from 1 species